rnacentral:rRNA from 1 species
UACGUAGGGGGCUAGCGUUGUCCGGAAUCAUUGGGCGUAAAGAGCGCGUAGGCGGCCAGAUAAGUCCGGUGUGAAAGUCACAGGCUCAACCUGUGAAUGCCGCUGGAAACUGUCUGGCUAGAGUCCGGAAGGGGCGAGUGGAAUUCCUGGUGUAGCGGUGAAAUGCGCAGAUAUCAGGAGGAACACCGAUGGCGAAGGCAGAUCUCUGGGCCGUAACUGACGCUGAGGAGCGAAAGCAUGGGGAGCGAACAGG